UACGUAGGUGGCAAGCGUUGUCCGGAUUUACUGGGCGUAAAGCGCGCGCAGGCGGCCCGCGAGGUGUCCUGUGAAAGCCCCGUGCUCAACGCGGGAGGGUCAGGCAAACCGGCGGCUUGAGGCCGGUAGAGGUGGGUGGAACUCCUGGUGGAGUGGUGAAAUGCGUAGAGAUCAGGAAGAACACCCGUGGCGAAGGCGGCCCACUGGGCCGGACCC
rnacentral:rRNA from 1 species